rnacentral:misc_RNA from 1 species
AACGCACAUUGCGCCCGCCAGUAUUCUGGCGGGCAUGCCUGUUCGAGCGUCAUUUCAACCCUCAAGCUCUGCUUGGUGUUGGGGAUCUACAAGCCUCCGUGCCUGUAGUCCCCGAAAACGAGUGGCGGACCCGCUGAAGCCUCUUUGCGUAGUAGUGUACUCUCCCUCGCAUCGGCGCCCAGUGGGAUUCUAGCCGUAAAGCCCCCAAAGCUUUAUUCUGGUUGACCUCGAAUCAGGUAGGAAUACCCGCUGAACUUAA